CAAAGAUGGACCAUUGAUUGGAAUGAUUAUGACUAGGAAUUGUAUAUUUGUAUAAUUAUGACCUGUAAUGUUACAGACAAAUGUUGUGGUGAAAGUCCUCUUUGGCCCGUAGUGCAUAGAUGGAUAGGUGAUUGGCAUGAUCAUGACCACUGGUGAUACUGACGAAUAUCCUUGGCCCGUAGUGCAUGGAUAAUUCGUUGAUGUAAAAUAUUUAUUGAUUAUUGUUACAAG
rnacentral:lncRNA from 1 species